rnacentral:rRNA from 1 species
GACGAACGCUGGCGGCGUGCCUAAUACAUGCAAGUCGAGCGAAGUUUUUCUGGUGCUUGCACCGGAAAAACUUAGCGGCGAACGGGUGAGUAACACGUAAAGAACCUGCCUCAUAGACUGGGACAACUAUUGGAAACGAUAGCUAAUACCGGAUAACAGCAUUAACUGCAUGGUUGAUGUUUAAAAGUUGUUUUUGCUAACACUAUGAGAUGGCUUUGCGGUGCAUUAGCUAGUUGGUGGGGUAAAGGCCUACCAAGGCGACGAUGCAUAGCCGACCUGAGAGGGUGAUCGGCCACACUGGAACUGAGACACGGCCCAGACUCCUACGGGAGGCAGCAGUAGGGAAUCUUCCGCAAUGGGCGAAAGCCUGACGGAGCAACGCCGCGUGAGUGAAGAAGGAUUUCGGUUCGUAAAGCUCUGUUGUUAGGGAAGAAGGAUUGUGUAGUAACUAUACACAGUAGAGACGGUACCUAACCAGAAAGCCACGGCUAACUACGUG